AGGGGCCUGAUAAAGCCAAAAGACAGUUCCAGGAAGUUUAGGAGUGGAGAAGGCUUUGCCCAUUGCUUUUAAAAUUGGGGAAAUCUGGGUGGAAAAUUACUUCUUCAAAAGUGUUUCUUUGAUAUCACCGCUGCUAAGGGAUCCUUUUUGGGCAUUGGUUCAUUCUAGAUCCCUUAAGAUUGCUUUCAAGUAAUAGCAAAGUGCCGGAGGAACCCUGGAAUCAUUCCUGUGCCCGGGAAUUCUGUAAAGAGAGAGUAUCUUAGAAAAUCUCAAACCACAGAAAAUACUUUGAUCCAUUGCAGUACAGAAUCUUGGCUUCCAUGAUCCUCUUUUUAUAAUGCUCUCAUCAUUUGUGUAUGUAUUUAAAUAUCUGAGUCUAUCCACAUCUCUCCAUUUCUACUACCACUGUCCAAGUUCAGUAUCACAUCUUCACAUCCUGGAAGACUGUUCUGGCACCCAAACUGUGCACUUGUAUCUGUUCUGACUUCUCCCAGCCACUCUCCACACUAAAGCUAGAGUAAACCUUUAAAAGCACAAAUGUGUCAUGGUGUCCUCCUGCUUAGCAGUCUCCACUGGUAUCUCUUUGCUCUUGGGCUAAGACAAAAUUCUUUAGUGGGGAUUAUAAGCUCCUAACACUCUAGCUCCCUUUGCUUCAGUCACACUGGCAGUUUUGGAGUUUCUCGAACUCCCCAUAUGUCCUCCAACAUAGUACCUGAGCAUGCUGUUUCCUCUACCCGGAGCCCUUUGCCCAGUUAAUUCCAAUCUCAGCUCAAGAACCACUUCCUCUUGGAAGCAUUUCUUGACAUCCCUGGCCAGGUCAAAUCUCCCAUUCUAGGGCUUCUUAGUGCUAUAUCCUCUCUUCGUAGCAGUUGCACGGUUCUAACUUUACAUUUAUUCGUGUGAUUAAAGUAUUUCCUCUUUGCUAUACUGUCAGAACCAUGAGAACAAGGCACAUAUCUGGUUUUGCUCUUUGCUUUUCUGAAGACUGCCAUAAGUAGGGUCCUUUCCCAGGCUAAUUCUUAACUUAGUACUUUUAAUUACACUGAUAAGGAAGUUUCAGGACAUGAAGAAACAGACCAGCUAAAGGUUUUCUACUUUGCUAUUAUUUUUUAAGAAAUCAAUGCUAAUAAUGUUUUAGUUGAAAGCAGUGUAUUCUGAUCAGUCAAGGACCUCUGAUCCCACCUGUUCUUGAAGACAAAAUGGCAUGCCUGCAGUCCACAACCUGACACUUCAUGUAAUAAACUGGCAGCUGCUUCGAGUUAUGAUAUGACUCUGACAAAUGCUUGUAUUGCCUUAAGUCAAAGAUGGAUUACUGCCAAAGAAGAUGAUUUAAAUUCAUUCAAUGCCACAGACCUGAAAGAUCUCUCUUCUCAUCAAUUGAAUGAGUUUUUAGCACAGACGCUCCAGAGGGCACCUCUUCCAUUGGGGCACAUAAAGCGAAUGCAAGAGGUGUACAACUUCAAUGCCAUUAACAAUUCUGAAAUACGAUUCAGAUGGCUGCGGCUCUGCAUUCAAUCCAAGUGGGAGGACGCAAUUCCUUUGGCGCUAAAGAUGGCAACUGAACAAGGAAGAAUGAAGUUUACCCGGCCCUUAUUCAAGGAUCUUGCUGCCUUUGACAAAUCCCAUGAUCAAGCUGUCCGAACCUACCAAGAGCACAAAGCAAGCAUGCAUCCCGUGACUGCAAUGCUGGUGGGGAAAGACUUAAAAGUGGAUUAAAGACCUGCGUAUUGAUGAUUUUAGAGAUUUCUCUUUUUUAAAUGGAAUUCGUAAAGAAAUAUAAAACUUCAGCUCACAAUUAAAACUGUCUUUUUGGUUUUGGCUUUUUAUUGUUUUGUUGGUGAUUUUACUAAAAUAAAGUUGAGCUACUUCUUCUUA
rnacentral:sRNA from 1 species